AUACCGCUGUUUUCUUGUAGUGCAACCUUACCGAACAAGAAAAUAAAGGUGAAGGCAUACAUACAAACAAAUCUUAAAAGUCAAUUUUAAAAUUAUAGUCAAAAAAUCAAAAACUAGAAAACUGGAAAGCUAUUAUAAAAAAUAAGAAGCCAAAAAGAAAAGCAUUUAGAAACGAUAAACAUUCAUGGCCAUUAAUGUUUUGAAUAGAAUAGUCCACAGUGACUUCCUUGUAGGAAGAGUUCUUGAUGGAGUUGGCCGUUUGGGAGAUAUUUCAUAAUAUGUUUUCCAAAAUGCAACAAAGAAACUCACAUUACCAAACUUUUAUGCUUCAAAAAUUGUCAAUUCGUCCACGUAGCCUUCAUGACUAAUAGUACUUUUAUUAAUUAGGUACGUGUAACGUAUUCGUUAAGCAAAUCAUUAUUCACGCACAACAAAAUGCAUGGAUAAAUGGCCAUGCAUGGGGACACAUAUGUAGUUUCAUAUUACAGCGUAAUAUACAUGAUAUCAACUAGAAAGAUCCAAAAAAAAAACUUCAAAAGCAAUUACAAUUGGAUUAUUAUGUAUUUUAGAUAGCUGAUGAAGAAUACACAUGUUGCAGCGGACGUGUUUUCCUAUGAGUUUGACGCUAUAGAGGAAUGGCUAAGCAUGGGACAUGACACAUCUUUGAAAAUUUACGAGAGUACUAGACUAUCAACUUCUCACACCCAACCAUACUUUUUCGUGCUCUUAUUCAAGACUGGCAUAACAAACGAGCAGCACACGCUUCCUCCUAGCUAGUUUCUUUUGUAUAAACUCAACCCAAAAGGUUUCUAACUUUUUUAUUUUGAUUCACAUCUGCGUUUGUUACGUAGGGCGUUCCUGUUUCUGACAAUGGUUCUAGGCUGUACGAUGGUGAAGAUGAGUUAAAAUCUGUUCUUCAAGAGAGGCAGAUGGAGAUGGAUUUUAAUGACUUCGAAGAUGAUAGCGAAGGAGAAGAGACUGACAAGGAUGAGAAGGAAAGUUUUAUGGAAUCCUACUCUGGAACAAUGAAUGAGGAGAUUAAGAACUCAACUCGUGAGAAGAGUUUUGAACAUGUGAAUCAACAUUAAUCUAAGCAAGACGGGAUUUCAACCUGGUUAAAAACCUACUUGAGUCCUACUCUUCACAACAAGGACUUUCUGGUCCUGCUUCCAAUUCACUCGGCCUCAGGCGUUUACAACUCCAAAAGAUUCCAACGAGAAAUAAUGAAACGAAGUUUUGUCUCUGAUCAAAAUCGUGUGCUGUCACAUGUUUGAGUGUACUUUGUUAGUCUUUUGCCAAGAUUUCUGAUGAUUAUAACGUGCAUGGUUCUUGUGUUGUUGUCGAAAGUAAGCACAUGACAUGUGAUUCAAGAAAAAAGAAAUAUAAACAGAAACUUAUGUACAUGUAUGUACACUAUUACACAUCAUCAAUCACAAAAGAACAAAAAGAAAAAUGUUUUUUCUUUGUUUGUUCACAAACCCAAUAAUCUCAGACCACAGAAGCAGAAAACGUCUUCACUCCAAACACCCACAUGAAAAAUAUCCAGUACUCAAAUCAUAUAUCAUAUUCAUAGCAUAUCAAUC